rnacentral:lncRNA from 1 species
ACAGCAGCAUGGAGGACCUCAUACACAGGCGCUUCAGGUGGCUGGAGACAUUCUGCAUGCUGACCUAAAGACUGCUUACAAGCAGAGAAACCAACAUGGGCUCCCCCUGAGCAGAGUAGGGCAGGCACAUGACGACAUUCCCACACCAACACCAGCCAACUGAAAGCAGCUGCCUGGAACACCAUUGGGAAGGGUUCUGAGGCAGGAAGUGUGGCAAGAGGAAAUAGUAGCAA